AGCUCCAAUAGCGUAUACUAAAGUUGUUGCAGUUAAAAAGCUCGUAGUCGAAUCAGGGUAUGAAAUGUAGAUCGGCUGGUUAUUUAUUAACCCGCCUUUUAGCAUUUGAUCCCCAAUGUUACCGUACUUCUGUUAUUUCUUUAUUGAAAUUUACAGGGACGGUAUUUUUUACUGUGAAUAAAAUAGAGUGUUCAUGGCAGGCCUACUUGUUUGGCUUAGAUACCUCAGCAUGGAAUAAUAGAAUAGGACUUCUGGUUCUAUUUUGUUGGUUUUUGGAGCCGAAGUAAUGAUUAAUAGGAAUAGUUGGGGGCACUCGUACUCCGUUGUCAGAGGUGAAAUUCAUGGAUUUACGGAAGACGGACAACUGCGAAAGCAUCUGCCAAGGAUGUUUUCAUUG
rnacentral:rRNA from 1 species